rnacentral:rRNA from 1 species
UACGUAGGGUGCGAGCGUUAAUCGGAAUUACUGGGCGUAAAGCGAGCGCAGACGGUUGUUUAAGUCAGAUGUGAAAUCCCCAAGCUCAACUUGGGAACUGCGUUUGAAACUGGAUAACUAGAGUGUGUCAGAGGGGGGUAGAAUUCCACGUGUAGCAGUGAAAUGCGUAGAGAUGUGGAGGAAUACCGAUGGCGAAGGCAGCCCCCUGGGAUAACACUGACGUUCAUGCUCGAAAGCGUGGGGAGCAAACAGG